rnacentral:rRNA from 1 species
UACGGGGGGAGCAAGCGUUGUUCGGAUUUACUGGGCGUAAAGCGCACGUAGGCGGCUUGUUAAGUCAGGGGUGAAAUCCUGGAGCUCAACUCCAGAACUGCCUUUGAUACUGGCGAGCUUGAGUCCGGGAGAGGUGAGUGGAACUGCGAGUGUAGAGGUGAAAUUCGUAGAUAUUCGCAAGAACACCAGUGGCGAAGGCGGCUCACUGGCCCGGUACUGACGCUGAGGUGCGAAAGCGUGGGGAGCAAACAGG